rnacentral:rRNA from 1 species
CGUGGCGGCGUGCUUAACACAUGCAAGUCGAACGAAGCAUCCCGCCCGAGAAAUGGAGUGCUUGCACAAAGUGGACUCAAUUGGGAUGACUGAGUGGCGGACGGGUGAGUAACGCGUGGGUAACCUGCCCUAUACAGGGGGAUAGCAGUUGGAAACGACUGAUAAUACCGCAUAAGCGCACAGGAUCGCAUGAUCUGGUGUGAAAAACUCCGGUGGUAUAGGAUGGACCCGCGUCUGAUUAGCUAGUUGGUGAGGUAACGGCUCACCAAGGCGACGAUCAGUAGCCGACCUGAGAGGGUGACCGGCCACAUUGGGACUGAGACACGGCCCAAGCUCCCACGGGAGGCAGCAGUGGGGAAUAUUGCACAAUGGGCGAAAGCCUGAUGCAGCGAACCGCCGCGUGAGUGAUGAAGUAUUUCGGUAUGUAAAGCUCUAUCAGCAGGGAAGAUAAUGACGGUACCUGACUAAGAAGCACCGGCUAAAUACGUGCCAGCAGCCGC